GGGGAUUUAGCUCAGUGGUAGAGCGCUUGCCUAGCACGCGCAAGGCCCUGGGUUCAGUCCCCA
rfam:Rattus norvegicus chromosome 20, whole genome shotgun sequence.